rnacentral:rRNA from 1 species
CCUACGGGGGGCUGCAGUGGGGAAUAUUGGGCAAUGGGCGCAAGCCUGACCCAGCAACGCCGCGUGAAGGAAGAAGGCUUUCGGGUUGUAAACUUCUUUUGUCAGGGACGAAGCAAGUGACGGUACCUGACGAAUAAGCCACGGCUAACUACGUGCCAGCAGCCGCGGUAAUACGUAGGUGGCAAGCGUUAUCCGGAUUUACUGGGUGUAAAGGGCGUGUAGGCGGGACUGCAAGUCAGAUGUGAAAACCACGGGCUCAACCUGUGGCCUGCAUUUGAAACUGGCGGGCUGGAGUUGGAGAGAAGUACGCGGAAUGCGCGGUGUAGCGGUGAAAUGCUUAGAUAUCGCGCAGAACCCCGAUUGCGAAGGCAGCGUACCGGCUCCACACUGACGCUGAGGCACGAAAGCGUGGGUAUCGAACAGGAUUAGAUACCCCUGUAGUC